rnacentral:rRNA from 1 species
AACGUAGGAGGCAAGCGUUAUCCGGAGUUACUGGGCGUAAAGAGUGCGUAGGCGGAUCUGUAAGUGGGUGGUGAAAGCGCCCGGCUAAACCGGGCGAGGUCCAUUCAGACUGCAGGUCUAGAGGCGGAUAGAGGGGUGCGGAAUUCCGGGUGUAGCGGUGAAAUGUGUAGAGAUCCGGAGGAACACCAGUGGUGCAGACGGCGCCCUGGGUCAGAACUGACGCUGAAGCACGAAAGCGUGGGGAGCGAACGGG